CGACGAUCUGUCACUGAAAGUUGCGCCAAAAAAGUUAUACCAAAUAAACAUACAGAAAAUAAUUUUAAUUUUUCCUGGUAUUGUACCAUGUUAUACUAAACAGAUAGGUUCCGAGAGUUCCUUCGAGACGAAGGUAUGGUGCAAACAUCGUCGAUGGAAACCAGAUGGAAUCACUCAUCUUUUGUCAUCAGUUUAAAAAAAGACGUAGGGAAAAGAAGCAAUGAUUUCGUUGGGGUCAUCAACGACUAACAUCUGCACAAUGAAAAUCUAUCGCCGAAAUCGAUUUAGCUACGAUGAAAAUCUAUCGCCGGGAGCGAGGCCGGAAGCUUUUCUUCCUUGUGUCUGUGAUUUAGACACGUCUUGUAACCGUAACUACCUGGAUGCAGGAGAUAAAACGACCAAAAGCAGACGAAAAAGUGUCACAAAAGGCAAGUUAACCAACAAACGCCGCGGAGGUGCCGAGGAAGAUUGAUGUGCUGAGAAAAACCUGUUAAUGAGAUGUUUACUUCUUCAAGUAGAAACUGCCAUCGUGGAAACCCGACAGCUCACCGGACAGAUGGAACCCGGAGAGGGUAAUACAUCUAUACGUUCCCAAACCAUAGCGCACUCGCUAAUCUUUGGGAGUUCAGUUGAUACGGUAGGUGAGCAGUUUUACGUAAGUGGAAUGAUGUCCGCAUCAGCGCCGGCAACAACGUGGAAAUUGGUAACUUGCAAGACCAGAAAGAUUGUUGCUUAUAAUUCAUAUGCUGAAAACUCAUAAAUUAUGGAUUCAAUAGCUGCUUUUUUUGUUAUUAAUAAACUUUGUUUAACUUGACGUUUCUUUUGUGUUAUUUUUAUUAUUGAUGUAAAUAAAGAAAAGC